rnacentral:tRNA from 1 species
GGAGGAGUCGCGAAGCCUGGUCAAACGCGCAGGACUCAAGAUCCCGUCCUUUAGGGGUUCGUGGGUUCGAAUCCCACCUCCUCCACCA